GUUCUUGUAGUUGAAUAACAACGGUGAUUUUUCGGGUCAUUAGUCGUGGUUUAAGUCCAUGUGGGAACU
ensembl:Mt_tRNA